GACGAACGCUGGCGGCGUGCCUAAUACAUGCAAGUAGAACGCUGAAGGAGGAGCUUGCUCUUCUGGAUGAGUUGCGAACGGGUGAGUAACGCGUAGGUAACCUGCCUGGUAGCGGGGGAUAACUAUUGGAAACGAUAGCUAAUACCGCAUAACAGUAGAUGUUGCAUGACAUUUGCUUAAAAGGUGCAAUUGCACCACUACCAGAUGGACCUGCGUUGUAUUAGCUAGUUGGUGGGGUAACGGCUCACCAAGGCGACGAUACAUAGCCGACCUGAGAGGGUGAUCGGCCACACUGGGACUGAGACACGGCCCAGACGCCUACGGGAGGCAGCAGUAGGGAAUCUUCGGCAAUGGACGGAAGUCUGACCGAGCAACGCCGCGUGAGUGAAGAAGGGUUUCGGAUCGUAAAGCUCUGUUGUAAGAGAAGAACGAGUGUGAGAGUGGAAAGUUCACACUGUGACGGUAUCUUACCAGAAAGGGACGGCUAACUACGUG
rnacentral:rRNA from 1 species